GAUGAACGCUAGCUACAGGCUUAACACAUGCAAGUCGAGGGGAAACGACAUCGAAAGCUUGCUUUUGAUGGGCGUCGACCGGCGCACGGGUGAGUAACGCGUAUCCAACCUGCCCACCACUUGGGGAUAACCUUGCGAAAGUAAGACUAAUACCCGAUGAUAUCUCUAUAAGACAUCUGAAAGGGAUUAAAGAUUUAUCGGUGAUGGAUGGGGAUGCGUCUGAUUAGCUUGUUGGCGGGGUAACGGCCCACCAAGGCGACGAUCAGUAGGGGUUCUGAGAGGAAGGUCCCCCACAUUGGAACUGAGACACGGUCCAAACUCCUACGGGAGGCAGCAGUGAGGAAUAUUGGUCAAUGGGCGAGAGCCUGAACCAGCCAAGUAGCGUGCAGGAUGACGGCCCUAUGGGUUGUAAACUGCUUUUAUAAGGGAAUAAAGUGAGUCUCGAGAGACUUUUUGCAUGUACCUUAUGAAUAAGGACCGGCUAAUUCCGUG
rnacentral:rRNA from 1 species